rnacentral:sRNA from 1 species
UAGCACUGAUUUUACUACUUUCCAAAAA